rnacentral:SRP_RNA from 1 species
GCCAGGCAUGGUGGUGCAUGCCUGUAAUCCCAGCUACUUAGGAGGCUGGAGCAGGAGAAUCGCUUGAACCCAGGAGGCAGAGGUUGCAGUGAGCCAAGAUCAUGCCACUGCACUCUAGCCUGGGUGACAGAGUGAGACUGUGCCUCAA